UACGUAGGGUGCGAGCGUUAAUCGGAAUUACUGGGCGUAAAGCGUGCGCAGGCGGUUUUGUAAGCCAGAUGUGAAAGCCCCGGGCUCAACCUGGGAAUGGCAUUUGGGACUGCAAGGCUGGAGUUUGGCAGAGGAGACUGGAAUUCCUGGUGUAGCAGUGGAAUGCGUAGAUAUCAGGAGGAAUACCGAUGGCGAAGGCAGGUCUCUGGGCUAUAACUGACGCUCAUGCACGAAAGCGUGGGGAG
rnacentral:rRNA from 1 species